UACGUAGGAUGCAAGCGUUGUCCGGAUUUACUGGGCGUAAAGCGCGCGCAGGCGGCAGUACAAGUACCCUCUGAAAUCUCCUUGCUCAACGAGGAGGGUGGAGGGUAGACUGUGCAGCUAGAGGAGGGUAGAGGGGGGUAGAAUUGCUGGUGUAGCGGUGAAAUGCGUAGAGAUCAGCAGGAAUACCCGUGGCGAAGGCGGUUUCCUGGACAGUUACUGACGCUCAGGCACGAAAGCAUGGGGAGCAAAAGGG
rnacentral:rRNA from 1 species